AGUGAACGCUGGCGGUAGGCCUAACACAUGCAAGUCGAACGGCAGCACAGUAAGAGUUUGCUCUUACGGGUGGCGAGUGGCGGACGGGUGAGGAAUACAUCGGAAUCUACUUUUUCGUGGGGGAUAACGUAGGGAAACUUACGCUAAUACCGUAUACUACCUACGGGUGAAAGCAGGGGAUCUUCGGCCCUUGCGCGAUUGAAUGAGCCGAUGUCGGAUUAGCUAGUUGGCGGGGUAACGGCCCACCAAGGCGACGAUCCGUAGCUGGUCUGAGAGGAUGAUCAGCCACACUGGAACUGAGACACGGUCCAGACUCCUACGGGAGGCAGCAGUGGGGAAUAUUGGACAAUGGGCGCAAGCCUGAUCCAGCCAUACCGCGUGGGUGAAGAAGGCCUUCGGGUUGUAAAGCCCUUUUGUUGGGAAAGAAAAGCAGCAGGUUAAUACCCCGCUGUUCUGACGGUACCCAAAGAAUAAGCACCGGCUAACUUCGUG
rnacentral:rRNA from 1 species